ensembl:snRNA U1 U1 spliceosomal RNA
AUACUUACCUGGCAGGGCAAAUACCAGGAUCACCAAGGUGGUUUUCCCAGGAUGAGGCUUGUCUUAUUCCUUGCACUUGGGGCGUGCUGACCCCUGUGAUUUCCCCAAACGUAGGAAACUCACAUAGUUUGUGGUAGUGGGAGACUAUGUUCAUGUUCUCCCC